CUGGGAAAAUAGAAGCAAGUGCUUUAAGAUAACAGCUGAAAGCUGAGAGUCAAGUGCUGAAUAGCAUAUAUAGUAAUUUAAUUUUUUAAGAAAAAUCAUCUAAACUAUAAAAAAAAAAUGCAGUCUAAGCUAUCUUAAAAGUAGACCCAUAGGCAGGGCUCUGAUCUUUCAUAGCUUUUUCCCUUCACCAUUCUCACUGCAAAGUAUACUUUUCUUCCAACUUUGUCAUGAAUUGGAAUUUAUUUUCCCAUGAAUGACCAAAGUCACCAGAGGCUCAUCUUUUCAGUAUCCCUAGAUGAACUCCUGUUCUCCUAUAUAUAAGUAUAUAUCUCUGCAUUUUUGCACAAGUUAUCCUGGCCACCUAAGAUGCCCUCACCUCCUCUGAGACUGAAAGGACAAGAUUAAUGGGAAAAGAAAGAUAAUGUCAAGGUGAAGACCAAGCUUCAAUUUUUUUCCCAACAAAGCAGGAGAUAAGAAUAAGGAAAUUAGGAGGAAGGUCUUGAGAAUAAAGCAGCUCUGGGAAAUCAUCCUGGAAGUAAAGAAAGAAUGAAUAAAAAGAUUACUGGAAAAAGAAACAAAUCCUUAUUGAUUUGAAUUAUAACUUUGGUUCAUUCCUCUCUACCUGGCAAUAAAAAUCACUAAUAUUUCUAAAGCA